GACAGAGGCCUCGAGCGUUAGGCGGAAUCACUGGGCUUAAAGCGUGUGUAGGCGGAUCGUUAAGUGCCUUGUGAAAUCCCACGGCUUAACUGUGGAACGGCUGGGCAUACUGGCGGUCUUGAGCCAUCUAGGGGCGACUGGAACAAACGGUGGAGCGGUGAAAUGCGUAGAUAUCAAGAGGAACACCUGCGGCGAAGGCGGGUUGCUGGGCCGACACUGACGCUGAGGCGCGAAAGCCAGGGGAGCGAACGGG
rnacentral:rRNA from 1 species